rnacentral:tRNA from 1 species
GCCAUGGCUCAGUGGGUGAGCAUUGGUUUGGCAUGCAGAAGGUCCUAGGUUCAAUCCCCCACAUCUUGACCUGGAAGGAGCA